AAUAUUGGACAAUGGGGGCAACCCUGAUCCAGCCAUGCCGCGUGUGUGAAGAAGGUCCUCGGAUUGUAAAGCACUUUAAGUUGGGAGGAAGGGCCUUAGGUUAAUACCCUGAAGUUUUGACGUUACCAACAGAAUAAGCACCGGCCAACUCUGUGCCAUCAGCCUCGGUAAUAAAGAGUGUGCAAGCUUUAAUCGGAAUUACUUGCCGUAAAGCGCGCGUAGGUGGUUCAGUAAGAUGGGUGUGAAAUCCCCGGGCUUAACCUGGGAACUGCUUUCAUAACUGCUGAGCUAGAGUACGGUAGAGGGUAGUGGAAUUUCCUGUGUAGCGGUGAAAUGCGUAGAUAUAGGAAGGAACACCAGUGGCGAAGGCGACUACCUGGACUGAUACUGACACUGAGGUGCGAAAGCGUGGGGAGCAAACA
rnacentral:rRNA from 1 species